GGAAUAUUGGACAAUGGGCGCAAGCCUGAUCCAGCCAUGCCGCGUGCAGGAUGACGGUCCUAUGGAUUGUAAACUGCUUUUGCACAGGAAGAAACAUCCCGACGUGUCGGGACUUGACGGUACUGUGAGAAUAAGGAUCGGCUAACUCCGUGCCAGCAGCCGCGGUAAUACGGAGGAUCCAAGCGUUAUCCGGAAUCAUUGGGUUUAAAGGGUCCGUAGGCGGUUUAGUAAGUCAGUGGUGAAAGCCCAUCGCUCAACGGUGGAACGGCCAUUGAUACUGCUAAACUUGAAUUAUUAGGAAGUAACUAGAAUAUGUAGUGUAGCGGUGAAAUGCUUAGAGAUUACAUGGAAUACCAAUUGCGAAGGCAGGUUACUACUAAUGGAUUGACGCUGAUGGACGAAAGCGUGGGUAGCGAACAGGAUUAGAUACCCUGG
rnacentral:rRNA from 1 species